UGGGGAAUAUUGCACAAUGGGCGCAAGCCUGAUGCAGCAAUGCCGCGUGAGUGAAGACGGCCUUAGGGUUGUAAAACUCUUUCGCUAGGGAAGAUAAUGACGGUACCUAGUAAAGAAGUCCCGGCUAACUCCGUGCCAGCAGCCGCGGUAAUACGGAGGGGACUAGCGUUGUUCGGAAUUACUGGGCGUAAAGAGUUCGUAGGCGGACUAGCAAGUUAGAGGUGAAAUCCCGGGGCUCAACCCCGGAACUGCCUCCAAAACUAUUGGUCUAGAGUUCGAGAGAGGUGAGUGGAAUUCCAAGUGUAGAGGUGAAAUUUCGUAGAUAUUAGGUGGAACACCAGUGGCGAAGGCGCCUAACUGGUCCGGUACUGACGCUGAGGAACGAAAGCGUGGGG
rnacentral:rRNA from 1 species